rnacentral:rRNA from 1 species
GACGAACGCUGGCGGCGUGCCUAAUACAUGCAAGUAGAACGCACAGUUUAUACCGUAGCUUGCUACACCAUAGACUGUGAGUUGCGAACGGGUGAGUAACGCGUAGGUAACCUACCUGGUAGCGGGGGAUAACUAUUGGAAACGAUAGCUAAUACCGCAUAAUAUUAAUUAUUGCAUGAUAAUUAAUUGAAAGGUGCAAUUGCACCACUACCAGAUGGACCUGCGUUGUAUUAGCUAGUAGGUGAGGUAACGGCUCACCUAGGCGACGAUACAUAGCCGACCUGAGAGGGUGGUCGGCCACACUGGGACUGAGACACGGCCCAGACUCCUACGGGAGGCAGCAGUAGGGAAUCUUCGGCAAUGGACGAAAGUCUGACCGAGCAACGCCGCGUGAGUGAAGAAGGUUUUCGGAUCGUAAAGCUCUGUUGUAAGAGAAGAACGGGUGUGAGAGUGGAAAGUUCACGCUGUGACGGUAUCUUACCAGAAAGGGACGGCUAACUACGUG